UACAGAGGGUGCAAGCGUUAAUCGGAAUUACUGGGCGUAAAGCGUGCGUAGUCGGUUAUCUAAGUCGGAUGUGAAAUCCCCAGGCUUAACCUGGGAACUGCAUCCGAUACUGGAUGGCUUGAAUCCGGGAGAGGGAUGCAGAAUUCCAGGUGUAGCGGUGAAAUGCGUAGAUAUCUGGAGGAAUACCGGUGGCGAAGGCGGCAUCCUGGACCGGCAUUGACGCUGAUGAGCGAAAGCCAGGGGAGCAAACGGG
rnacentral:rRNA from 1 species